rnacentral:rRNA from 1 species
CCGAAAGGGAGAUGUGCCCGCAGGGGAGCCGAGAGACAGGUGGUGCAUGGCUGUCGUCAGCUCGUGCCGUGAGGUGUUGGGUUAAGUCCCGCAACGAGCGCAACCCUCACCCCUUGUUGCCACCAGGUCAGGCUGGGCACUCUAGGGGAACUGCCCCGGUCAACGGGGAGGAAGGCGGGGAUGGCGUCAAGUCAUCAUGCCCCUUACGUCCUGGGCUACACACGUGCUACAAUGGCCGGUACAAAGGGAUGCCACACCGUGAGGUAGAGCUAAACCCAAAAAGCCGGUCUAAGUUCAGAUUGGAGUCUGCAACUCGACUCCAUGAAGGAGGAAUCGCUAGUAAUCGCGUAUCAGCACGACACGGUGAAUACGUUCCCGGGCCUUGUACACACCGCCCGUCACACCACGAAAGCCAG